rnacentral:lncRNA from 1 species
CUUACCUAGAAUGUCUUCAUAGACGUUCUCCUCCGAUAAAGUGCGUGUCAGCCCCAGCUUAGUCUGCGCGUACCAGUCCACCCUGCUGCUCUCAGAGGAAGACUGCAGUAAAUCUUCAAACUCAUAGGACUUUCUGGACUUUUGCUGGCUUCUGUUCUUUCCAUGAGCAGAGAGUUUCCAGGCCUGGCUCCCAGCCAGCACAUUUGGACAAAAGG